AUGACUCCUCUUUUUAUCUUGCAGAGCUGGUUGGGCCUGGCUGCCUCACCUCAGGAACCCCCGGACGGACCUUCCUGGUUUUCCGGCCCUCCCUGGCCACACCUGUCCCACCGGGGAGCUCGGCAGGGGACUCUCCUGGCAUCCCAGGCAGGAUCCUGCCUCCAUCCUUCUCCUGGCUCCCUCCUGCCUGCCGGGGAGAGGCUCGGGACUCCUCGGCAACGCCUCCACCAUCAAUCUUCUCCUGGCAUCCCACCAUUCCCCCUGGCCAUUCCAGGAGCGAGGAGCGCAUCACCUGCUCACACCUGCACAGGUACUGCCCCUGCUGCCCGCCGGCACGGGCGCCAGGCUCCACGAUCCCGGCAGCCGGAUCCCCGCCCGCCUCCUCGGCCCGCCGAGCGCCUGACCCGGCCCCCCCGGCUCCGGGAGCUGCAGGAAGAGGCGGAGCGGGGCGGCCCCGGCGCGGCGGCGGCGGGAGGAGCGGGGGAUGCGGGCACCGCGGGGGAUGGAGAAGAGCGGGGCCCCUGGCACGGAGGGGAUGGGGGGUCCCAGGGGGAACCUCAGGGCGGCCACCAUGUCCCAGGCCACCACCUGCCUCAAGCAGGGGGAUGGCGGGCAGAGCCCCCCUCCGCUGCCAUCACCACCAGUAUCCCCGCACAUUUUCCCUCCGGAGACGCUGUUCCGACAGGCAGGUGGGGUCACCUACCGCAUCCCCGCUCUGCUCUACGUGCCCCCGGAUGA
rnacentral:lncRNA from 1 species